UAUUAUUUUUCUAUAAGAAAUGAUGAGCGGACUGAUUUCAGAAAAGCCUGGGAAGAUUUACAUGAACAUCUGAUGCUAAGUGAAGUGAGUAAAAUCAAGAAAAUAUUGUACAUAGCAACAAGAUUAUGUGAUGAUCCACUGUAAGCGUUAAAAAGCCUCUAGAAGCAAGGAACGCAGUUCAAGGCAUGUGGGAGGACCUGAGGGAUGAGAGGUACUGAGGCGCAGGUGAGUUCUUUGUGGAGAUGGGGCAUAGCCCCAGGAGGCGGUGUCUGACCCCAAGUACCACGUCUCCCUCCUUAGUGCUCUCAAAGCCUAGCAUGCCUCCCUCCUUUUUCUUGGGCCAAUCCCGUCAUGACCUACCUGUCCUGGUUCCUAGAGGACCUCCCCUUUCCCCAGAUCCUCAGGGGGGAUAAAUAUAUGCUAUCUAAGAAUAAAGUUCUCUUUCACUUCACCCCUACCUCCUGGUGGUCUGUGUCUGUGAGAUCUGGGUUGGUGCCCGAAGACGGGUCCUGAUGAGGAAGGCCACAGGAUUCCAGAAAGGACAAGGAAAGUUGCCCCUAUUAAAACAGGGGCUGAAGAAAAAGAGAAGAUGACCCAAGAGACGCCUGAAACAGCACCAUAGCAGAGAGAUGACUACCCUUGCUGGACUGGCUCAGUGAUUGGAUCCAACAUACUUUCCCAUCCCCUUCUAUUGUAUCCCAUGGGAUCUAUGUAGUCAUUUUGUAUUGUUGCUUCUUUUACUUGUGCCUACUUUGCUAGGAUGCUUUAUAUGUAUUCUUAAAAAAAAAUUCUUUAGAGGUGCUUAUGGAAGAGCUUCUCAUUUGUCAACAUGAGAACAUUUGGUCUUAUCAGUAAAAGAGGGGGAGAUGUAAGGGUUAAAAAGUCUCUAGAAGCAAGGAAUGCAGUUCAAGGCAUGUGGGAGGACCUGAGGGAUGAGAGGACCGAAGUGCAGGUGAGUCCUACAUGGAGGUGGGACUUAUCCCCAGGAGGCAGUGUCUGACCCCAGGUACCAUGUCUCCCUCCUUAGUGCUCUCAAAGCCUAGCACGCCUCCCUCCUUCUUCUUGGGCCAAUCCCAUCAUUACCUGCCUGUCCUGGUUCCUAGAGGACUUUCCCUUCACCCCGGAUCCUCAAGGGGGGUAUAAAUAUAUGCUAUGUAAGAAUAAAGUUCUCUUUCGCUUUACCCCUA